CACACACACACACACACACACACACACAAUAAUAUUUUAAACAAAGAAUAUAGCCCUUUCUCUUACACACCCACACACAUGGACAAAAUGCUCUUAACUUUUUUUAUUUUGUUUGAGAGUGUGUGUCUGGUGUUGGCACAUGUGUGUAAAAAGACAGUGAAGUGAAGGUGGCCUGUGUUUAGUGUCCAGACCUGGCAGAUUGUGACCUUAUCAAUGUGAAACUCUUAAGAUAAAUUAUUCAUAGCACCUGUUUGAUGUCUCCGGCCAAAGAAUGACAAAGGUGUAAGAUUUAAGAUCCUUCUUAAAAGCCAUGAAUAUCAGCUGCUGUGCUACCUGUCUCCCCUUAGAGUAGAAAAAGAGGGAGAUAGAGAGCUGCAUUUUAAAGCGCAAAAAUGAACAAUUUGUUUCCUAACAGGGGGUGUAGAAGAGAGCGACCACAGACGAGCCAUACAGUACUGUUUAGUAUGCCAAUCAUCAUUUGCACAUUAAUAAAACUCAACAGGAACUCAAGCUACCAUUUACAGUGUGCAAGGUGUGGCUUCUGUCUUACUGUUACUGUAUGUGACUCACAGGUGUCCAGUGAUCAUUGAAGCGGGCCACACACACUGUCGCUGCCAGCUUUCUCCUCACUUCAAUGUGAAACGUGAAGCAGAGUCUGAGUGAUUCGGUGGAGCUAACCUUGCCCUUUUGUAACUGAGUUUCUGUUGUGUCUCCUCGCAGGCAGAGAGCGACACGGCGGCCAGGCGUUCGGAAACACAGCGGGAUGGUCGGUGUGCUGCAAGCGACAGACACUGGGUUGAGAUGUAAUUUAGGGCGAGUGCUGUUUGAUUACAGAAUGGUGACGGUGAUACCACUGCUUAGUAUGAGCGUUGGGCUCACUUGACAUGACAGCCCUGCACUGACUGGCUCAUUGUACUGAUUCAUACAUGUGAUUAACUUUUUUUCAUGGAAUGACCCCGGCUUCCUAAGCAUCACCACCCUCCAUCAGAGCUCUAGAUACAAGUCACUGCGGUAAAACACACACACACACACACACACACACACACACACACACACACACACACACACACACACACACACACACACACACACACACACACACACACACACACACACACACACACACAGUCACCAUCAAUGAACGUCAGCAGAGCAACCACAGCGCCACAGAGGAGCCUGGAGACCAACAAAGCUGGUUGAUACUGUAACACUGAGUGGAUCAUGCUCUUGAACUUGCUUUCAAAAUGAUGUAAUAUUACAAAAAGGCAAUGCAACACAGCAAAGAUCUUAAUAAAAACACAUCAAUCUCGA